GAGGGUAUAGCUCAAGUGGUAGAGAGCGUGCUUAGCAUGCAUGAGUUCCUGGGUUCAAUCCCCAGUACCUCCU
rfam:Camelus ferus unplaced genomic scaffold scaffold1144, whole genome shotgun sequence.